AUUGAACGCUGGCGGCAUGCCUUACACAUGCAAGUCGAACGGCAGCACGGGAGCUUGCUCCUGGUGGCGAGUGGCGAACGGGUGAGUAAUACAUCGGAACGUACCCAGGAGUGGGGGAUAACGUAGCGAAAGUUACGCUAAUACCGCAUAUUCUGUGAGCAGGAAAGCGGGGGAUCGCAAGACCUCGCGCUCUUGGAGCGGCCGAUGUCGGAUUAGCUAGUUGGUGAGGUAAAAGCUCACCAAGGCGACGAUCCGUAGCAGGUCUGAGAGGAUUUUCGGCCGCACUGGGACUGAGACACGGCCCAGACUCCUACGGGAGGCAGCAGUGGGGAAUUUUGGACAAUGGGGCAACCCUGAUCCAGCCAUGCCGCGUGAGUGAAGAAGGCCUUCGGGUUGUAAAGCUCUUUCGGCGGGGAAGAAAUGGCAACGGCUAAUAUCCGUUGUUGAUGACGGUACCCGCAUAAGAAGCACCGGCUAACUACGUGCCAGCCGCCGCAGUAA
rnacentral:rRNA from 1 species